rnacentral:tRNA from 1 species
CCAUAGGUGGUUCCAUGGUGGUAGAAUUCUCACCUUCCAGGCGGGAGACCCAGGUUCAAUUCCUGGCCAAUUUA